rnacentral:misc_RNA from 1 species
GCUUCUUGUAUCGUCAUAUUCGACGCUGCGCUGCCGCGGGAACAAAGAAAAAGCGUAUAGUGAACUCGGCGGCGCACGCAGACGGAUUACCUGUUGUGCGUGCGGCGCUCCACAUCCAGCUCGGCUUUGAAAACCGAAGUAGUUGAAGCAAAAGCAAAACAUGCAUGUCGAAAUUCGGCUAUGUGGGGUGGAGCAGGCCUGCGCUUUCGACCCACAGAGCUUUUACCGCGUAAAGCAGCUCCUGUCCUCAUACAAUGGGCAAGGCAGCGGCGCUGAGGAAACUGCCAGGCGCGCCUGGAACGGCGGCUCGCUGUUGCGUCUUCGGCACACGACGCCUUUCACCCCCGAGCUGAAGCUGCAGGUCGUGGUGGAGAGUCUCAUUGAGAUGGAGAGCAGAUGCUUCAGUGCCGUGAUGGACAAGAAGCAACAUGAGGCGCGCAUCAAGAGUAACUGGAACAACAGUGCUGUCGGAACAGCCUAUCACAGCGCAGACGUGGACGAGGUGAUUCUGGCAGCCCUUCCUACGGCUGCCGCCGACAGCGUCGUGAAAAUUCGUCUGCUGCAGCUCCCCCCACCACUUGAUUACGACGCACAGCAAGUUGUGAAGAGAGCGAUCGGCGACGCCACCGUCAGCAGGCACAGACACGACACUCCCCUGUGCAUUGGUGUUGCAAAGAUAAGCCUGCGGGAGCUGAUGUUGGCCAGGAGAACAGUCAGCAUUGCGAUGCAGGCGAAGCGGGCCGUUGUGAGUACCGUGGAGGCUCACAACCUAGACACGUUGAUCACGAAUGCUAUGUUCGGCCGAGGAGAGAGGAACGGGAGCGCCGUUCUCUCUGUGCAGUUUAACGGCUACACUUUCGGACGCGUUCCGAGGGGGAAGUCCAUACGGAGUCACAGCCCCACGGAUACGACGAAGCGCAUCACCGCUGCCAUGGAUUCCGACGCGCCAUUGCCAAGUGCUUCGAGUGGAGCAGCCGAGGAGGCUGCUAUCGGGAUGGAAGAGACUCUCAAUUCGCCAGCCAUCCGCUUUGUACUACUUCCGUACGUUGCACUUGUCGACGUACUCCUGCGCAUGGUUGACGUGACUUCCUGGCGCGUGCCUCGGAAGACAGGGAUGGCGCUCGCAGCGGUUGUCAUAGCGCUCUACUCGGACCUCUUUGACAUGUUGUUCGUGCUGACUGUGGCACUUGGUGUAUUAAGCGUCCUUCGUAACAUUUCGCUGUUCUGCUACGUUCCUGCGAGUGACAGCACUGCCGCUCGUGUCGCUGCUGCACCUGUGGGGGGCAGCGGUGUCACCAAGUUUCAGCCGUUUCUCUACAGUCGCGAGAACGCCUUCCUGAACAGUCUGCUGCGCGCGCGCGUCUUUUUCUCGCGUGGUCUGAUGGAGGACACGUACUAUGAGCUUGCGUUGGCUGCCCACAUAGCCCGGCGCAACCGCCGACGGCUGGUCGGGUUCGGUUUAGCUGUGUGCUUCAGCUUUGCCUUCCUCUCCAUGGGGACCGUGAUCAUUCUCCUUACACUGGGCGCCUUUACAGCGUACCCGGUUUUUCUCAACCUGCCCAACACACUUCGACGCACCCGCAGGAGGAAAGGGUCGGCUUUGGCGCUCAUUAGGUAUGCUGCCAGCGCAAUACGCGUGCCACGGAGAUACAAAGUGGUACGUGUCAUCCGAGUGGCAGUGGCCCGCGCAAAAACCACAUCGCUGUCGUCUCGCAACGACUCCAUUGCCGGAUCUGGGGCAGAGAGCCUUCAGCAGCAGUUCCUCAACUGCAUUCGCCAGCAAGCCGAGUCGAAUGGGGUGCGGUCGCCGACGGAGAGAUCAGAGAUCUCACUGAAAACGAGGGAGAAAAACAAUCUCACGGUGGGCCGCCGAACGCGAACCGUGGAUUUCGACGUCCUUCCCAGCAACGCUGUUAACUUUGCAUCUACCCUCGAUCGGUUUCAGGUCACUCACGUCAUGCGCUAUUUUGUGGCUCUGUGCUUCUCUUCAAACGUAAUGGAAACACCGGAACUGGCUAGCACGACCAGUGGCUUGCGAAAGGCGUCUUCCAACGCGGUUCUUCAGCGUCGCCUGUGCUAUCAGCUGAGACAGGCGCGAAUGGUAAGUGAUCUGCUGCCGUCAGCUUUACCGCAGCCGACCAACAUCUCAACGGGUGGUGGCUUGGCUACGAUUAGUCAGCAAGGCGGGUCCGUCGUCGGUGAUGCGAAGCCGUUGGCAGUGUCCAAGGAGAUACAGGAGGCCUUUCAGAGCUACUUCAUCAGCACCCUGAACCUUCUAUUCUAUCUGCGGCAGCAGUGGACAUUUCAUCCCUACGUCACGCAGUCCAGCACGACAAAGUGCAUGCCAGACAGCUUGCGCAGCGUGAGCGUGCUGGCCCAGCCGCAGGGCCUUAUCGAUGCUGGCGAAGACGACGGAGUCACCAAGGCGCUCAUGGCGAGGCGCAACUCAAUGUCGAACCCGCCGAUGGUAGGCAUGUUUAACAGCAGCAAUUCUGUCGAGGUGAGUGGGCGAGUAAUGGCACUCUACGCAGCGUAUUUGCUGCAAGGCGCACGUCUUUCAGUGUACACGUCCUCCAGUGGAUGCGCCACCGUGCUACCGCUGCGUGCCCCGGGAAAUUGUAUGGAGCGGUUUCCGCAACCCAAUCCCUGCCCGGCGGAUCUUUUGAAUACGCUGGACUCGGUGUGGCGCGGGGAGACGAGUGACACGGCAGGGAAAGGGGAGGAGGUGUACUUCAAUGCAGAUGCCGUGCUGCAAAUCAUUACUGUGUACAAAGACUACUGGGAAGGCGGCGCGAACUUGGCAACGACGCGAUCCUCGGUGCGCCUCGAAAGCAGUGCAGCCGGCGAGAACCACUUCGGCAACACGCUAAUGCGAAGUUCGAUUCGGGGCGCUCUCGUCUCUGCGUCGCCGGUGCCCCGUCAACAGACAGCACCGCUGAGUGCCACGACGUCCCUCACACGCUCUCCGCGCCAGCUGACCACAGCGCUGACAGGGCUCGCCGGCGCGGCUGGCAGUGCAGGACAGCCUCGAGGUGACAUCAGUCCCAAUCCCGCUAGCAGCACACGCGACGUCAAUGCUGGGCUCGCCGCGCUGCCCCUUCUUCCCGCAGCGAUGGCUGAGCCGUACACGACAAAUGCAGGCUGCGAGAUAUCUUUUUCCUCCUCUGCUAAGGCCAAUUCAAUUUCAAACAAAGCGCUGAGUGAUCCGCCCGUGCUUGAUGCAACCUGCAAUCGCAAUGUGAAUGGGCGACAACUAGCCGACCAUGAGAGGGCGACGAAUUCUGACCCGAAUUGUAGCGGCUCCCAAACGGGUGCCGGAAAGGGGAACUCAGCGGAGAGGUUGUCGAAAUCGAAGAGGUGAUGCCUUUUGUGUAGCUUCAGUGCGAUGCCGCGCUAUGAGUUGCCUGUCGUGUUCUCCUAGUGAGGUGUCCGCCGUGUCGACGUGGCUGUCUGUGUGUGCUUGACUGCUCUUCUAAGCACCAGAGAAUGGCCGCGUCAGACUCUCGCGCACCUCCCUCCCCGCCCCCCUCUGAGCCGCCUCCCUCUCGGCCCUCCUCACAAGAGAACAUCGGAAGAAAAAGACGAUGCGUGCUUGAGGACACGGGACCUCGCCUUUUGCUUCUUUUUCCCUCUCCUGCCAAGUGCGACCUCGGCCGUCACCGAGAGUUGCCACACUUCACGGCGUACUUCCUACCAUUAUUUGCUUUGUGUGGGCGGCGGUGUACUGCCGCUGCGAGUGCCCUUUCACGGCUUUCUUGCACGUCCUUGAUAGAGCGUCAGCGGGUCAGUGCGUAACUUUUUUUUCUCUCCCGAUUCCGCCCUUACCUGCCAAUCUGCGGAAGCUGAACUUUGUGUGACGCGCGGCGAGAAGAGUCGGGCGCAUCUUUGUCUUCUUUCCUCUUCACGUCAGUCGUGCACUCAUACCGGCAAGCUUUGCUGUACACUGCUUAUGUUUGUGUCGUCUCUCUCCCCCGCCUUUUGGGGAAUGGCUGCGUAGCGUCGAUAUGCAGCCGGAAAAGGCCCACAAGUGAAAGAAGCCUGCUUCUGUCUGGCCAUUAGAGGGUGACUCGUAUGCGAGUGCACUCUACUGCGUCGUCCUCUCUACGUACUGCAUUGCUGCGCUGUCAAAUCGCACUAGACUAGGAUCUCU